GAUGAACGCUGACAGAAUGCUUAACACAUGCAAGUCAACUUGAAUUUGGGUUUUUAACUUAGGUUUGGGUGGCGGACGGGUGAGUAACGCGUAAAGAACUUGCCUCACAGGUAGGGACAACAUUUGGAAACGAAUGCUAAUACCUAAUAUUAUGAUAAUAGGGCAUCCUAUAAUUAUGAAAGCUAUAAGCGCUGUGAGAGAGCUUUGCGUCCCAUUAGCUAGUUGGAGAGGUAGCGGCUCACCAAGGCGAUGAUGGGUAGCCGGCCUGAGAGGGUGAUCGGCCACAAGGGGACUGAGACACGGCCCUUACUCCUACGGGAGGCAGCAGUGGGGAAUAUUGGACAAUGGACCAAGAGUCUGAUCCAGCAAUUCUGUGUGCACGAUGAAGUUUUUCGGAAUGUAAAGUGCUUUCAGUUGGGAAGAAAGAAAUGACGGUACCAACAGAAGAAGUGACGGCUAAAUACGUGCCAGCAGCCGCGGUAAUACGUAUGUCACGAGCGUUAUCCGGAUUUAUUGGGCGUAAAGCGCGUCUAGGUGGUUAUGUAAGUCUGAUGUGAAAAUGCAGGGCUCAACUCUGUAUUGCGUUGGAAACUGUAUAACUAGAGUACUGGAGAGGUAAGCGGAACUACAAGUGUAGAGGUGAAAUUUGUAGAUAUUUGUAGGAAUGCCGAUGGGGAAGCCAGCUUACUGGACAGAUACUGACGCUGAAGCGCGAAAGCGUGGGUAGCAAACAGG
rnacentral:rRNA from 1 species